GUACUCUUGGCCGAGUGGUCUAAGGCGCUAGUUUUAAGCUAAAUCCAGCUAUUCUCGGCUGUUUACUUCACUAGUAACGAAAGUUGCGCGAGUUCGAACCUCGCAGAGUACA